CCAGAUUUUGAAAUAUUCUGGUUUUUUUGCAGUUCAUUCACACUACCUGUCUGCUUUGGUUUCAGACUCACUUGUGUUCUCCGACAGAAGACAGUGACGUGACAUGAAUGGUAGCACCAGGCUCUUACUGUUGCAUUCAAUAAUUGAUUCUCCUGGAUGGAUUGUGACUCUCCAAAGGCUGCAAAGAGAGAAAGAGCUGAAUGAUGCUGCCACUUACCAAGAAGAAAAAGCAGCGUAAGAGCAUUGGUUUAAAGGAGAUGUUUUGGAUUUACACUGUCAUCCUGAAAGCAGAGUUGUCCCCUGUCAAUGAGAAGUAUCACAGUCCCUCUCCCCAGAGGAUUAGAAGAGGCAGUGACUGCUGGGGCAGUCUUCUCUGAAUCUUCUGCUGUUCUGUGGGACCCAGCAGAAUCCCAGAUGUGAAAUACAGAGGGGUGCAGGAGUCACCCACCGGCCUUUGCCACGUUGUGAACACGCACAGUCUGCUUCUGGAAGAGCUCCAAGUGACUUGAAAGGUAAGAAAAAAUACAUAAAACAAACCCAAAAACUGAAAUGGGU
rnacentral:lncRNA from 1 species